GGAGGAUUAGCUCAGCUGGGAGAGCACCUGCCUUACAAGCAGGGGGGCGGCGGUUCGAGCCCGUCAUCCUCCACCA
rnacentral:tRNA from 1 species